rnacentral:rRNA from 1 species
GAUGAACGCUGGCGGCGUGCCUAAUACAUGCAAGUCGAGCGAACGGACGAGAAGCUUGCUUCUCUGAUGUUAGCGGCGGACGGGUGAGUAACACGUGGAUAACCUACCUAUAAGACUGGGAUAACUUCGGGAAACCGGAGCUAAUACCGGAUAAUAUUUUGAACCGCAUGGUUCAAAAGUGAAAGACGGUCUUGCUGUCACUUAUAGAUGGAUCCGCGCUGCAUUAGCUAGUUGGUAAGGUAACGGCUUACCAAGGCAACGAUGCAUAGCCGACCUGAGAGGGUGAGCGCCAACACUGGACCGGAGACCGGUCCCAGACUCCUACGGGAGGCGCAAGGAGGGAAUCUUCGGAAAGGGGCAAAGGCCGGACGGACCACCCCGGGGGGAGGAAUGAGGGUGUUCGGACCGUAAAACUUUUUUAUUGGGAAAAAACAUAUUUGUAAGUAAGUGUGCACACCUGGAGGGUACUUAAUCAGAAACCCACGGCAAAUUCCGUC